rnacentral:rRNA from 1 species
GAUGAACGCUGGCGGCGUGCUUAACACAUGCAAGUCGAACGGGAAUUACUUUAUUGAAACUUCGGUCGAUUUAAUUUAAUUCUAGUGGCGGACGGGUGAGUAACGCGUGGGUAACCUGCCUUGUACAGGGGGAUAACAGUCAGAAAUGACUGCUAAUACCGCAUAAGCGCACAGGACCGCAUGGUCCGGUGUGAAAAACUCCGGUGGUAUAAGAUGGACCCGCGUUGGAUUAGCUUGUUGGUGAGGUAACGGCCCACCAAGGCGACGAUCCAUAGCCGGCCUGAGAGGGUGAACGGCCACAUUGGGACUGAGACACGGCCCAGACUCCUACGGGAGGCAGCAGUGGGGAAUAUUGCACAAUGGGGGAAACCCUGAUGCAGCGACGCCGCGUGAAGGAAGAAGUAUCUCGGUAUGUAAACUUCUAUCAGCAGGGAAGAAAA